rnacentral:rRNA from 1 species
GAUGAACGCNGGCGGCGUGCUUAACACAUGCAAGUCGAACGAGAAGUGGAGACGGAAACCUUCGGGCGGAAGACUUUAUUUCGAGUGGCGGACGGGUGAGUAACGCGUGGGUAACCUGCCUCAUACAGGGGGAUAACAGUUGGAAACGACUGUUAAUACCGCAUAAGACCACAGCAUCGCAUGGUGCGGGGGUAAAAACUCCGGUGGUAUGAGAUGGACCCGCGUUCGAUUAGCCAGUUGGCGGGGUAACGGCCCACCAAAGCGACGAUCGAUAGCCGAUCUGAGAGGAUGACCGGCCACAUUGGGACUGAGACACGGCCCAAACUCCUACGGGAGGCAGCAGUGGGGAAUAUUGCACAAUGGGGGAAACCCUGAUGCAGCGACGCCGCGUGAGUGAAGAAGUAUUUCGGUAUGUAAAGCUCUAUCAGCAGGGAAGAAAANGACG